rnacentral:lncRNA from 1 species
AUGAGGCAAGAAGUUGUUCUUGGAGAGGCAAGCUUGGAUGUCGCACGCCUCCUGCUUGCACGGUUCUUUGCUCUGCUGCCGCUUCGCCAUUUCUCUCUCUCCCUCCCAAUUGCCCUUUUGAUCAACCAGGCCGCAAGUAGUCUCGGUAUUUUAUUCCAACAUAUAUAUAUAUAGGUUAGUGUUUUUCUUAAUUUUUUUUUCUCUCUUUAAAAUUCUGUUAUUUUCGAACAGGUUUUUUUAUGUUUUAAUUUUCAAAUUAUGAAUUCUUAUUUGUUUAAUUUUCAAAUUAUGAAUUAAGGAGGGAGGGAGGGAGGGAGGGAGGAAUAGGAAGGUUGCCAAUAACACAAUGGUGCUGAUUAUUUGUCGUAAAAAUUUCUUAAACUUUAAAGACAUGAUUCCACGGAGAACUCAUCUUCAAAUAAAUGGGCACUCGGCCCUAACAAAUACUCCAAUUUUAUUGUAAAAAU